rnacentral:rRNA from 1 species
CCUACGGGUGGCAGCAGUGGGGAAUAUUGCACAAUGGGGGAAACCCUGAUGCAGCAACGCCGCGUGAGUGAUGACGGCCUUCGGGUUGUAAAGUCCUGUUUUUAGGGACGAUAAUGACGGUACCUGACGAGGAAGCACCGGCUAACUCCGUGCCAGCAGCCGCGGUAAUACGUAGGUUGCGAGCGUUGAUCGGAAUUACUGGGCGUAAAGGGCGCGUAGGCGGGAUUUUAAGUGAGAUGUGAAAUACUAGGGCUUAACCUGAGUGCUGCAUUUGAAACUGUAAGUCUAGAGUGCAGGAGAGGAGAAUGGAAUUCCUAGUGUAGCGGUGAAAUGCGUAGAGAUUAGGAAGAACACCAGUUGCGAAGGCGAUUCUCUAGACUGUAACUGACGCUGAGGCUCGAAAGCGUGGGGAGCAAACAGGAUUAGAUACCCUGGUAGUC